GGAGGUGUGGCUUAAUCGGUAAAGCACUAGUCCAAGGAACAAGCAAGCCUAGUGAGCUUAAGGCUCUGAAUUCAAACAUCAGUACUGCCA
rnacentral:tRNA from 1 species